rnacentral:rRNA from 1 species
UAACUGCGAGUGAAGAGGGAAGAGCUCAUCAUUGGAAUCUGGCAGUGUUGCACUGUCCGAGUUGUAGAUGAGGAGUAGUCCGUCUGGACUGCAUGGCGUCCAAGUACAAUAGGCCGUCAGUGGGACAUCAUAGAGGGUGACAAUCCCGUCCUUGAUGCCAAUGUGCAAGUCCAUUACGAUGGCUAUCUCAGAGAGUCGAGCAGUUUGGGAUUUGCUGCUUAAACAUGGGAGGUAGAUUCCUUCUAAAGCUAAAUACAGGCGAGAGACCGAUAGAGAACAAGUACCGCAAGGGAAAGAUGAAAUAGCACUCUGUGAAGGGAGUCAAAAGGCGUGAAAUUGUUGCGAGAGAAGCGAUUCAAGUCAGCGUAGCUAGGCCCAUCAAGCCUUUUUGCUUUGGACUAGCUUUGCCAGCGGUCUUGUCCCUUAAAAGGGACUUGACUUGUAAUGUGUCCAGCCUGGCGUGCACAGGCAGCCCCUUCUGGGGGCCAGUGGCAUGGCUGGUGGAAUGGCUUGCAAUCGACCCGUCUUGAAACACGGACCAAGGAGUCUAACAUGUAUGCGAGUAUAAGGGUGGCAAACCCGUAUGCGCAAUGAAAGUGAUUUUCGAUGAUUGAGAAUGGCCUGAUGACCAGACAAGC